UACGGGGGGGGGCAAGCGUUGUUCGGAAUUACUGGGCGUAAAGAGCGCGCAGGCGGUCGUUCAAGUCGCGUGUGAAAGCCCCCGGCUCAACUGGGGAGGGUCACGCGAUACUGAUCGACUCGAAGGCAGGAGAGGGUAGUGGAAUUCCCGGUGUAGUGGUGAAAUGCGUAGAUAUCGGGAGGAACACCAGUGGCGAAGGCGACUACCUGGCCUGUUCUUGACGCUGAGGCGCGAAAGCUAGGGGAGCAAACGGG
rnacentral:rRNA from 1 species